CGGUAUUUGCCUUUUCACAUCGUGACAUUACAAACCGCUCUCGAUAACCAGGUCUUUGUUUAAGCCAAAAUAGCUCUUCUCGACAUUGUUUUUGUUUUGGAUCACGUUUUGGCUACUGUUUGAGUGUUUCUCUCUUCAGAAGUUCUCUUACGCGUUAUUAUUGACAUUUUUAAUUACGAGUUAAAACUAGGAGUUUCAUCUUCUUCAGUUGGUAGUGGUACGUAGUGCCGUACUCGUUCACUGUCCGUGGUUACUCGCUCCCGCCCGGGACCCGGGCGCGGCCGUCCCAGCUGCAGAGCCAGCCAAGCAGUUCGAGUGAAAGCGACGAGUACACCAUAAAGGGACAAUGAACUCGGAGUCUACACUUUGUUUCUACAAGUCAACGGGCAACUUGCUCAAUCGAAGAGGACUGGGGAAGUGUACAACAGGCCUGUCGUUUCCGUCCGGCGAAACAAAGAGAUCAUGGAGAACCCAGAAGUACCACAACUGAAUUGGGAAGGAUAGUGAGAAGUCUCUGGAGGACAGGAGAUGUGUGUGCAUUUGAGUUUUGUCAGAUGUGUAUCAAUCAGAUUAUUUACGUCUGGGACCGACCUUUUACAUCACAAUCUGAAAGACGUGACCAGGGCUCGAAACUCUGCAUCAAUUUGUAACUUCCCCACAGCUUGGAUUACAGGUGCAAGCCACAACGCCCAGGACAGGAGAGCUGU